CACCAGCGCCUGGUCUGAGGCCCUGGGCGCCUGGCGCACACAGGACCUCCCCGAGCGCUCACCGCUAGCCGAGCGGGGAAGGGGAUCGCUCGCCCCCACUUCACAGACCAGGAAACCGAGGCUCAGACACGGGAGGCCGUUUGCCCGAAGGCGCACGGCCGGGCAAUCCCUGGAAUGGCUGCCGCUCUCCCAGCCAGGUUCGGGUCAGGGGAGGCGGAGGGGGGCCGUCCUGGGACCCAGCCGCGCCCUGACCCACGAGCAGCGACGUGGGAUCCUCCACUCAGGCCCACAGCCCAAGAUUCCAUAGUCCAAGAUUCCAGAAGAAGAAUCCAGGAUGGGAAGGGUGGGGUCAGAGGGAGAAUGCUGAAAGAAGGUUCUGGAAGGUAGGGAAGAGGCAGGGUGGGGCAGCCACCCUGAGCAGAACCCCCUCCCAGCAGCCCAGCAGGCCUCCUGUCCACCCCCACCACCCCCUCCCAGCCUCCACCCCUGCCCCCCACCCCCCACCGUCCAGGGGGAAGAGGCCUGGGGCAGAGACCAGAAUGGAAACUCUGGGUGGAGACAACCAGACUCAGAACCUGAUCUGCCACCCGACUGUCCCCCAGGCCUCCCAGACUCUCUCCAUCCCCACACCACGUGAGGCACCGCGGGGGUGGCAGGGGGCGGCGCAGUGUGGGGGCCAGGACCUCACACAGGGAGGCCGGACAGCUGCGAGGCGGGUGGGGGUGGCUGCAAGCACCCCAGUGUUCAGAGGAGAAGACGGAGGCAGAGAGUGGGGCACCCUCUCAGCCAAGGUCCCACAGCAGGGAAGCCGCCUGGGGCUGGGCCGUGGGGGGGGGGGGGGGGGGCCCAGGUGGGGGCAGGGCUGGUCACCAGGACUUCCGGUGGAGAGGACAGGGGGCCCGAGGCCGGGGCACCCACACCCGGGAGCCGGCGUCCCCGAAUCGAAUCGUGGGCUCCACCUGUCUCGGAUCUCAGGUUCGGGGUGUCCCCCUCGGCCGCCUCGCUCUCCACGUGCUCUUGGGGCCCAACGACUCAUCCUUGCCCUGAUGUCUUCUUCGGGGCUGGAUGUGUCUUCACACGCUGCCAACCUGCAAGUCCAAACUCGACUGUGACUUCGCUCUGGGCCCAAGUGUCAGCAGUCGAUCUGUUACCAGUUGAUGGCGGGCUCGUUUCUCAGAAGCCAGGCGCGCGCGCACGUGCCGGAGCCCCAUUCUCUGGUGUGGAUCAUCUCUGCAUCGGGUCUGGAAUGAUACUUUCAGGAGCCUUGUUUCCAUUCCCAGUGAGUCGUGACCGUGCCUGUGUCUCAGUCCUCGUGCUUUUUCCUGAGCGACGCCUCGCGUUCCGAAGACGCGCAGGUUGUAACAGAACGAGGGUGGGAUUCGAGAAACGUCCGGACCUGAGCAACCCCCACCCCCACCGAGUUUCCCCGAGCCCCAGAGACAACCAGCCCCCCUCCGCCCGCCCUGCCCGGGACAGCGCUGCCAGUCUGGGCGUCCCGUGGCCACCGUGUCAUGUGUCCCGGGAGUGGAGAGGGGUGGCCAGCAGGCUGAGUCGGCGGACCUUCGCCCUCCUGCAGGGAACAACUCUGGUGACUGAAAAGUAACCCCGUGUACCCACCGCGCUUGUGGGCGUUGAAACCCCCAGGCUCUGCCAGGGUCAGCGUGUUGGGGACUUUGGGCCGGUUUUGUACACGGUGCACAUCAGUCCGGGGGCCGCUUUGGUUUCAUGUUGUUUUGUGGGAAGAUUUUGGUUUUGAAGUGAUCUCCGCGCCCGGCGUGGGGCUGGCACUCCCCACCCAGAGAUCCGGGGUCCCAAGCCUCACGGAGCCAGCCCCGCGCCCCGCGGGGCUGCUUUGGUUUUGUAAGUGAACCUUCCAAGGAGGAGAAAGACACUGCUCAAAUCUGACUUCUUUCUUAAGCGGUGAAUCCACUGGAAACUUACACUUCUAUUUCUGGAUGGAAUACAUUUCCCCAACCCCAUCACCGCGGAGGGAAGCAUUUUCCGUCAUGCUUGCUUCCGUUGAUAAACGGAGGUCGUUAAACUCUC